AGAGUUUGAUCAUGGCUCAGGAUGAAUGCUGGCGGCGUGCCUAACACAUGCAAGUCGAGCGGCAGCGAGGGGUGCUUGCACCCUGUCGGCGAGCGGCGAACGGCUGAGUAACGCGUAGGAAUUUGCCCCAAAGUGAGGAAUAACUGCCCGAAAGGGUAGCUAAUGCCGCAUAUGGUCUUCGGAUUAAAGGGUUUAUCCGCUUUGGGAGAAGCCUGCGUUGGAUUAGGUUGUUGGUAGGGUAAUGGCCUACCAAGCCGACGAUCCAUAGCUGGUCUGAGAGGAUGAUCAGCCAGACUGGAACUGAGACACGGUCCAGACUCCUACGGGAGGCAGCAGUGAGGAAUCUUCCACAAUGGGCGAAAGCCUGAUGGAGCAACGCCGCGUGAAGGAUGAAGGCCUUCGGGUUGUAAACUUCUUUUAUGAGUGAAGAAUAUGACGGUAACUCAUGAAUAAGCACCGGCUAACUACGUGCCAGCAGCCGCGGUCAUACGUAGGGUGCAAGCAUUAUCCGGAGUGACUGGGCGUAAAGAGUUGCGUAGGCGGUUUAAUAAGUGAAUAGUGAAACCUGGUGGCUCAACCAUACAGACUAUUAUUCAAACUGUUAAACUCGAGAAUGGUAGAGGCAACUGGAAUUUCUUGUGUAGGAGUGAAAUCCGUAGAUAUAAGAAGGAACACCAAUGGCGUAGGCAGGUUACUGGGCCAUUUCUGACGCUAAGGCACGAAAGCGUGGGGAGCGAACCGGAUUAGAUACCCCGGUAGUCCAA
rnacentral:rRNA from 1 species